CUACAACAGAUAAAGACUCCCACUCAGAGAUGUGAUUAAUCUGUGAAACAUACUGUAAAUGUCAUUACUAGUAUUUUUAUUUAUGUUUUUGUUGAUAUUCAAAAAGAAAAAUAUCCUAAUGUUCUAAAUAGCACUGAUGUUUCCAGAAAACCAAAGUCAACAGUACGUAGCUCCAAGAGCAACAGAUUCCACCUCAAUAAGAG
rnacentral:lncRNA from 1 species